rnacentral:piRNA from 2 species
UCCCAGAUGCUGUCCAUGGGCUUCUCUGA